ACCAACUUAUUCGGGACAAAGUAUUUCAGAACGAUACUACGCGCCGCCACUGAGCAACAACAAACAACUACAACUCCAAGUGGUUGCUUGUGUCCAACUCAGCGUGGAUACAGACCCGUGGGAUGUUAACGGCAAACCUGAAUUGGGUCCUUCUCACCAACCUUGGAGAGCAUACUGGCCACCAAAUCUCUCCUGUGUCAGCGAACGCGAGUUAUCUGCUAAGCCAUGGCUCACAUGGAAGCAUGAUCCCGCGAAGAUGAACAACAAGCCUUGGUAUGAUUGGGUUCGCCCAGAUCUUGAUCUAGCACCAUCGGAGGGAUGGUGUCCCACGUCAUGUGUAUACUGCGGCGGAAAGGGCUGUGGCCCCCGCUCGACUGGUGCCGAAGGUGCUUGAAAAAUUGCUUCAUUACGCGUGUUAGAUGUUGAAGGAAUGGUUCGAGGUUUCAUACUCGUUCAAUCUAUUGCGUCUUAACUUUAUGCUUGCCAGCGUUCCUGCGUUGGUGCCUAGCCGUAAAUGGGAAAUAUCGUGUAGUAAAAUUGAAUGAAGAGAGAUGCACUCCUUAAAUAAAAUAUGGAAGGAACACUGGAAUUUCUCACCAUUGCUGGUCAUUGCCCUCACCCGUUUUUGUAGAAAACAUAUGUCCUAACUUCAAUACUUUCUCUAAAAUAUAAAUUUUCCGGAUCACGGUUCGGAUACAGAAACGAUACAUGGGGAGCAUCUUCGCAACUAUUAGCUGCUGCAUUUUAGAGAG
rnacentral:sRNA from 1 species